AACGAACGCUGGCGGCAUGCCUAACACAUGCAAGUCGAACGAAGCCUUCGGGCUUAGUUGCGCACGGGUGCGUAACACGUGGGAAUCUGCCCUUAGGUACGGAAUAACUCAGGGAAACUUGAGCUAAUACCGUAUGAUGUCUUCGGACCAAAGAUUUAUCGCCUAAGGAUGAGCCCGCGUCGGAUUAGCUAGUUGGUGGGAUAAAGGCCUACCAAGGCGACGCUCCGUAGCUGGUCUGAGAGGAUGAUCAGCCACACUGGGACUGAGACACGGCCCAGACUCUGAAGGGAGGCAGGAGUUGGGAAUAGUGAAGAAUGGGGGAAAGCCUGAUCCAGCCAUGCCGCGUGAGUGAAGAAGGCCUUCGGGUUGUAAACCUCUUUUACCCGGGAAGAUGAUGACUGUACCGGGAGAAUAAGCCCCGGCUAACUCCGUGCCUGAAGCGGCAGUAACAC
rnacentral:rRNA from 1 species